rnacentral:rRNA from 1 species
CCAGGUCAGAUUGGGCUACCCGCUGAGUUUAAGCAUAUCAAUAAGC